ACCUGGGUGGCGCAGUCGGUUAAGUGUCUGACUUAGGCUCAGGUCACAAUCUCACAGUUUGUGGGUUCGAGCCCCGCUUCAGGUU
rnacentral:tRNA from 1 species